rnacentral:rRNA from 1 species
GAUGAACGCUGGCGGCGUGCUUAACACAUGCAAGUUGAACGAAGUGGCGGAUGGGCGAGUAACACGUGAGGAACCUGCCUUUCACAGGGGAAUAACACUGGGAAACCAGUGCUAAUACCGCAUAGUGAAAGAUGGCCUCGCGCCUGCUUAGCUAGUAGGUGAGGUAACGGCUCACCUAGGUGAUGAUCAGUAGCCGGACUGAAGGUUGAUCGGCAGCAUUGGGACUGAGACACGGCCCAGACGCCUACGGGAGGCAGCAGUGGGGAAUAUUGGGCAAUGGCGCAAGCCUGACCCAGCAACGCCGCGUGGGGGAUGAAGGCUUUCGGGUUGUAAACCUCUUUCCAUCGAACAUGGUAUCUAACCAGAAAGCCACGGCUAACUACGUGCCAGCAGCCGCGGUAAUUC